rnacentral:rRNA from 1 species
UGAGGAAUAUUGGUCAAUGGGCUGGAGCCUGAACCAGCCAAGUCGCGUGAGGGAAGACGGUCCUAUGGAUUGUAAACCUCUUUUGUCGGGGAGCAAAGAGGCCACGUGUGGUCAAAAGCGAGAGUACCCGAAGAAAAAGCAUCGGCUAACUCCGUGCC